rnacentral:lncRNA from 1 species
ACAAAGAGCUUUUGGAAUUCUGGAAUUUAAACAUUCUGAAUAGUUUAUUUGUCUUGACGGAAAGUAAAAAGAACAAACUUGUUUUAUACAAAAUCAGAUGCUCCAAAUGGUCAGUUGAUGAUGAUACCAAUCAAAGAAAACUAAGGAGGAAGAAAAAGAAAACAGGAAAGAGAGGAGGCAACAGGAAAAUCGGCCUUCUUCCUUCAGUCUACGCUUGAAAUUGCCAGGGAUGGAUAAAUCUGAAGAUGAAUGAAAAAAAGAAACUACUGGGAACGGAACAGAAACAAAAAAAAAGGAUGGGAAAUCUGAAGCUGCUAUUUCUUAUUCUGAUCUUAAUAGCAGGAUACAGUUGAAUAAUAACAUUAUCUAUUGGAGAUCACUGAAAUGUAGGGAGGGAAUUCCAUUUUGAAAACUUUAAUAUGUAGAGAGUCAAUACAUCAUUUUCACAAGCAAUAUCCUUAGAAGAAAGGAUUUUUUUUAGAACUAUCAUGCUACAGAAAACUGCAUUUUUAUAGUAACUGAAAGAUGCAAAGUUACUGAAAAAAUAAAACUGCCAUUUUAUUGUAUUGCCAUUAAUCACAUGGUUUGAAUUUUGAUUACUUGUAGAGACUGAGACUAUUAAAUGGUGGAAUAUUUCUAUGGACAACAUUCAGAUAGUAUUCUCAAUGCUUCACUACUCCCUUAACCCAUUUUGGUGUACUUUAGAAAUGUAAUACUGUCGUUGUUGGGUUUUUUUUAAAACACAAGAAAGCAAUAAACACAUUGAGAUAGAAUCCCCCUAACUUGCUCUCCAAUAAAAACAGACUUUGCAUUAUUUA